rfam:Beta vulgaris subsp. vulgaris contig151303.1, whole genome shotgun sequence.
CAAACGGCCCUUUUUAGGGCCACCUAAUAAAAAAAGGAAAGUAUUU